GUUUUCAUACUAUAGGCAAUUUGGAAAUGUAGAAAUGCAUCCAUCUUCAAGAAACGGAACCAGACAUGGCAGGAGGUAGUUUCAUAUGCUUUAAAAUAUCAAGAAGAAUUUCUAACAGCUUCUUCAAAUGAAACAACGCAAACCUUCCCUCGGGGUCAGCCGACCCUUAUUUGGUCCCCUCCGCCUUUGAAUGCAAUUAAGAUUAACUUUGAUGCAACUGUUGAUCAAAGGAAUGGAAAGGGUGCUUCUGCUGUUAUCAUGCGAGACCACCUAGGAAGAGUUGUAGAUUGGAGAUGCAAGCUGUGGGAUGCGAUUCAAAGACCCCUUUGUUACUAGAAAGCUUAGCAUGUAGGGAGGCUGCUCUUUUGGGUGUUUCAUCAGGUUUUACCACAAUAGUUUUGGAGGGAGAUUCCUCAAUGGUGAUUGAUGGUUCGCGUAGCAGAGAGUCACCAAUUGCUAUACAAGGAGUCCUUCGUAAUGUUUUAGAGUUAACAGCCAACUGUGAACAUAUUAUUUUUUUCAACAGUUAGAAGGACUGCAACCCAGGCUGCACAUGUUAUUGCUCAAAAAUGUCUUCAUGAUCUGUCUUUUAGUUGUAACAGAUUAGCCCAAUUGAACAUUGUAUUCAGUUUGUCGCCUAUUUAAUGCUUCUAUGAAAA
rnacentral:misc_RNA from 1 species